CCCGCCCUCUGCCUUCCCCGCCGCCGGGCCUGACCUUUCCAGAUAAGCUCUGGCAGGGCCUCUGCCCUCAGCCCCUCCCCUCUGUUUCUAUCUGGCCGUCGGCCACUCUCCAGGGCCUCCAGGGCCAGCCUGCUGCCCUUUCCCUGGGGGUCAGGAGCUGCAGUCACCUCCGCCGUGUCCUGGGCAGACAGCAGCCUCGGACGCCCACUCCUGAGGCCCACUCAUCACCAGUCGCCCAGUCCCUCUGGCACAGCUGCUGGGAAGCCCUUGGUCAGCUUUCUCCCUGGGCCUCGUGACUCUGUGGGGAGGGCCUGUUCUGUUCCCGCGGUGACCAGCACCUCCCACGGGUCCCCGUCCCUGGCAGUGGAGGGGUGGUCUGGGCACAGGGGGGGUCUCGUUCCAGGACUGGGGUGCAGUGCCCCCCUCCCUGCAGGCCCCUGAGAGCCACACCUACCCCCAGGGCUCAGAGUGACCUUUACCUAGUGUAGCUCUUCCAGCGUCUCCAGGGCCACAGAUACCCGGCAGCAGGAGAAGGACCACCACCCUCCCCAGGUGCCAGGACCACCCCCCUCCUCAGGUGCCAGGACCUGGUGCCCACAGCAGCGAUGCCCGCGUGGGCGUGAGAGGGCAGCAGCUCUGCUGGGGACACGAGGUGUGGAAGUCCCCAGCAGACGGCGGGGCGGAGGGCAGAGGGCAGGGCUCUGCAGGCCCCACCAAGGGGCCCGUCCCUCAGGCCCACCCUGCAGACCUGCACUGCCACCGCCCCCCGGUCCCCAGGAUCCCCGAGCUCCGCAGGUCUCUGAGUGGGCAGGAAAACUUGGCCAGCCAAGGCCUGACAGCAAACGCCGCCCCUGCACAGCUGGACCUAGAGACAGCCCUGGCCCUCGGGGAUGUGCCACCAAGAGAGGACUGAGCCCUGGCCACCUCCGUGCACAGGUGGGGGUGGACGGAACCUCGCCCACCUCGAGAGCCCAGCUGUGGCCUCCUCCCUGGACACGGUGGGUCAGUGAAACGGGGGACGGGAGGCCAUCCCAGGGCAGGGCCUGACUCCCGGGGAGGCCGCCAGCCCCUCCUGGCACAGAUCAGAGCGGAUGGGAAAGUGCACAGGCAGGUGGCUGCCGGCACAGGAACCCGUCACGUGUCCCCCAGCUUGUCAAAAACCGAGACCAAACUCCCCAGCGGCGGAGCCUCACCACGCCUGCAGGAGGUGGUGGCAGACAGUGGGUUCCCGAGCCUGUCCCUGACAGAGUCUGGCACAGAGUCACAUCCAGGACAAGUGAGGUCCCCCAAACAGGCAGAGCCCUGUGGACCGGCAUUUCCCGGGUGGCCUCUGUCACCCAGGCCCCACACUGUGGGGUGGGGGCUGUGGACUCGCGCCCCGGCCCCGGCUGAGCCCACGGUGCCACCACAGCCAGGGGACUGGCUCUGGACCUGCUCCUCAUCCCUGAAGAGGAGGACGAGGCUGUGCUUGGGGCCAAGACCCCAGCCCCAGUGCUCACCGCGGCCAGCUCUGCGCCCAGCAGGCCCACGCACGUCCUGUCCCCCUGUCCCCUCGCCGUGGCCCACGGCACUCGUGUCUGCCUGGGAGCGGUCGCAGGGCAGCUGCACAGACCUGGGCACCACGGACCCAGCCAGGGCACCUGGGUCCUCUGAGGAGGCAUCGGGUACUGCCAAGGGUGGUCCCCAAAAGGCACGUCGGUGACCUGCGUGUGGCCCUCCUUAGAAGUUGGGUCCUUGAAGAGGUGACUGGGUUAAGGACCCAGAGAGGAGGUCACCCAGGGCAGGGUGGGCACGGCCCCAAGAAUGAGCGUCCUUGGCAGGGGCAGGAAGGAGAGGAGGCGGCCGGGGGAAGGCCACGUGACAGCCCAGGAGUGCCAGGGACGCGGGCAGCUCCCCGGGGAGCCAGCCCCAGGACACCUGCAUUCCAGACCCACUGCGGGGGAACCAUCUGGCUGUCACUCGUCACGGAGCAGCACGCAGUGUCUGACCCUCGGGCCACACGGGACCCGCCCAGGCAGGCCCAGCUGGCCAGGAGGGAGCUGCCUUUCCUGGGCCUCCCACCCAGCCUGCGGAUGAGGCGAGGCGGGGCAGGUCACCCUCUGAUCCCCUCCCGCUGGGGGAGGCCCCUCCACACCAGCCCACCGCAGCCCUCCCGGCUGCCCACCUCGGUCUCCGCUCUGUGACCCACAGGCACCCAACGGACAUGCUCGGGGUGGGACCAUGUCAGCCUGCAGCCACCAGGGAAGGAGUGCCUCAGCCUCCAGUGGGUGUCACACCGGCCAGGGGCAGAAGGCUGGCCAGGGGCAGGGUCUGCAGACCCCUCCCAGCCCCUCCUUCCUGUCCCCACCAACACCCAAGCCUGGAGCUUUCCUCUAACCCAGGAGCUGGAGGGAGGCUUCGCCGCGGUCAGCGGGGGACGUCUGGGUCACGCAGCACCCGUGUCCCUCGGGGUCCGGCUGGGCCUGCUCACGCUGCCCUGCAGAGGUGCCGCACCUGGGGGCACUGCUGCCCACCCCCAGCAGGAAGGCCCAGCGAGACCCUGUGCCUGCAGGGUGUGGUGGACACCGAGCACCUGACCCCAGCAGGUCUCAGUCCACCUGCGUGGCCUCGGGAAAGCCUGGCAGGAGGGAGGCACCAACUGUUUGCUAACGGAAUAAACGGGGGCGAGACCACGCCCGCGUCUGUCCAGGAACGGCGCGCCCUGCCCAGCAGAUGUCCCUCUCGGCAGAGUCUGCGAGUGUCCCCAGCCCAGGUCCUUCUGCGGGAGUCCUGUAGGAGGUGCCAGCUGGCCUGCGCUGGACUCCAGGAGGAAGCUUCCCCAGCAGGAGGCGGCACCCAACCUGGGCUUCCGGAACAAUCCGUUGCCUUCAGACCAGGGAUCCAGGCACUCGGGGGGCUCUGAAAGACCCCAGCAGCCCAGCCACGGUCACAGGCCAACGAGAUCUUAUCUGUGCCCCAGGCGGCUUCGCGCUCGGCGGGGCCCAGGACCCGUGACGCAUUUCUGGCCAGAGUCCAGCUGGAGCUGUGACGGGGGUCAAUGGGGCCACUCCCUGCCUGGGGCAUGGGCCUGGGGAGCAGAAGAGGAAAGGGCCCUCGUGGCUGCUGACCGGAGCAGCCUGGCCGUGGGAGCCUGCGCUCAGCGUCCCCUCCUGAACAGACUGUCCACAGGCAGAACGGCCCCUCCAAGGAACUGCCAAGGACAUGCUCCUGGCAAGGGCCCCAGCCGCAGCUGACCACAGAGGUCAGCGUGGGGCUCCGCGCGGAAUGCUCCGGACUCCCUGCACAGGUCUCACUAAGCGGCUGAGGUCAGCCUCCAACUUGCCAUUCCCCUGCCUCAGAGGCCUCCCAGGGAACCCAGGCAGGGAGCAGGCGCGUGGAGUCCAGACG